rnacentral:rRNA from 1 species
GAUCAACGCUGGCGGCGUGCCUUACGCAUGCAAGUCGCACGGCUCUUCUGCAAGGGAGGGUAGUGGCGGACGGGUGAGGAACACGUACCUAACCUGCCGAUGAGCGGGGGAUACCCCGGGGAAACCCAGGACAAUACCGCAUGUGGUCUUGUGGUUGCGGCCACAAGAGUAAACCCGUGAGGGGCUCAUCGGAGGGGGGUGCGGCCGAUUAGCUGGUUGGGUGGGGUAACGGCCUACCAAGGCGACGAUCGGUAGCUGGUCUGAGAGGACGGCCAGCCACACGGGGACGUGAGACACGGCCCCGACCUCCUACGGGAGGCAGCAGCGAGGAAUCUUGGUCAAUGGGCGCAAGCCUGAACCAGCGACGCCGCGUGGGGGAUGACGGCCC